UGGAGAAUAAAAAUAAGCUAAAGGUUUGACUUUUGCUUCUCUAUAAUACAAAAAUUAUAGGGAAGCUGUUGGAGUUGCUCACAAGGCUCUAAGGCAAGAAGUAGACUUUGUCUACAGCAUGCCCAUUAUUCUCAUGACAUUCAUAUUUGGAUUUCUGAUGCUCUCCCUAAAGUUCUUCGUUUUCUGCGGAGAGCCUGUUACUAUUGCCAAUAUCUAUUCAAAAAAGGUUUGCUUUUGAUGAUUGGCUGUUACAGAUUUGCUGUAGGGUGACCUUUACAUUAUUGACUUUGUGGAAAGCAAGACAUGAAAUUGUGCAGGAGCACACAACUCCUAAUCCUAUGGGUAGUAUUCACAAAGAAGGUGCUACAGUCUAUGAAUUCUAAGCCUGAUAUGACUAGGAAUAAUAUGAUGAAGUGGUCUGAUCCCAAGGUUCUGCUCUUCUGGUUGAAGCCUGUGCUGCCUUGGAGGGUUCGAGAUUAGAUCAAUCUCAUUAUUUCCAGGAUGUUGAUCUAAAAAUAGACUCUGAACAGGUCUGACGCUCUUAUCAAGGAGAUUAGACAGGUUCAAGG